AUUGAACGCUGGCGGCAGGCCUAACACAUGCAAGUAGAACGAGUUGCGAACGGGUGAGUAACGCGUGGUAACCUGCCUCAUAGCGGGGGAUAACUAUUGGAAACGAUAGCUAAUACCGCAUACUUUUGGAUGGACCUGCGUUGGAUUAGCUAGUAGGUGGGGUAACGGCUCACCUAGGCGACGAGCGCUAGCUGGUCUGAGAGGAUGACCAGCCACACUGGCACUGAGACACGGUCCAGACUCCUACGGGAGGCAGCAGUGGGGAAUAUUGCACAAUGGGCGCAAGCCUGAUGCAGCCAUGCCGCGUGUAUGAAGAAGGCCUUCGGGUUGUAAAGUACUUUCAGCGAGGAGGCGUUACUCGCAGAAGAAGCACCGGCUAACUCCGUGCCAGCAGCCGCGGUAAUAC
rnacentral:rRNA from 1 species